GUCCGGAUAGCGCAGUGGUCAGGGCAUCUGCCUAGUAUGCAGAAGGCCUGGGUUCCACUCCCAGUCCGGCACA